rnacentral:rRNA from 1 species
UACGGAGGGGGCUAGCGUUGUUCGGAAUUACUGGGCGUAAAGCGCACGUAGGCGGCUAUUUAAGUCAGGGGUGAAAUCCCGGGGCUCAACCCCGGAACUGCCUUUGAUACUGGGUAUCUGGAGGUCGAGAUAGGCGAGUGGAAUUCCGAGUGUAGAGGUGAAAUUCGUAGAUAUUCGGAGGAACACCAGUGGCGAAGGCGGCUCUCUGGGACGGUACUGACGCUGAGACGCGAAAGCGUGGGGAGCGAACAGG